ensembl:snRNA U7 U7 small nuclear RNA
GAGUGUUACAGCUCUUUCAGAAUUUGUCUAGCAGGCUUUCCAGUUUACGCUGCUAAAAAAUACAAGCUCUA